rnacentral:rRNA from 1 species
GACAGAGGGUGCAAACGUUGUUCGGAAUUACUGGGCGUAAAGGGCGCGUAGGCGGCGUGUUAAGUCACUUGUGAAAUCUCUAAGCUUAACUUAGAACGGUCAAGUGAUACUGAUGUGCUAGAGUGCAGAAGGGGCAACCGGAAUUCUUGGUGUAGCGGUGAAAUGCGUAGAUAUCAAGAGGAACACCUGAGGUGAAGACGGGUUGCUGGGCUGACACUGACGCUGAGGCGCGAAAGCUAGGGUAGCAAACGGG